CGGCGAGCGGGGCGGGCCCCGUGGGGCGGUCCCACGUGAAGAGCGGAGCCCCGCAGAGCCCGCGGGGAGCGCCGGGCCUGGGGGAGUGCGGAGUUCCUCCCUUUCGCCCUCCUCGGCAGCUCCUGCGGCCUCGGCAGCUGCCGCGGCCGCAGCGUAUGCGGGAAAAGCGCCCGCUCCCGGCGGAGCUCCGCCUGGGACAGGGCCGAGAAAUCCCCCGGGGGCGGCGAUAACGCGCCGCUGUUGUGUUUUCCUUCUUCGGACGGAAGUUACAGGCAGGAGCCCCAGGAAGGCGAGAGGAGGUCACGAUCGAGGCAUCAGAUCCCUCUCGUGGCCGUACCCAGCGCCUUCGGGAUUCGGCGUGCAGGUGGUGCACCAGAAAAAGGUGACGUCUUUUACCCCAAACCUCGAAAAGCCAGCUCCUGUCCGCUCUCCCUCCAGGCACACAACGCGAUUCUCCCACAGCUGUAGCAGAACGGCUCAGCUCGGAUGCACUGCACUCAAAACUUGCAGGGAAGGUGGAACGUGUGUAGAUGAUGGCUGAGGAUGCCAUCAUUACAGGUCUCAAAAUUCUUAGCUUGGUAUCUGCUGCACUGCGUUCAACGAGGCAGCUCCUUUUGAGUAACUACUUUAAGCAAUUCUUAAAAUAUUCUCUCAAAGAACAGCAGUUUGCUUUCUACAAGUGGUGAGAGACAUGGACAACAAUAAACCACUUCCCAACCUCACACAGGACCCGCUGCGCUGGGCACAUGUGUGAGGAACAAACCUUUUUGGGGAAACCGAGGACGCUAUCGGUAAAAAUCUUGGCCGCAUUACCCUGCCCAACAUCUUGCCCCACGAGAGCACACCGGACAAAGCACAGCGCAGGGUCCUCUUUCGCCCACGCUUUCCCGUCGGUACCGGCCCAGCCUCCUGCACCCCCAGCCCCAACGCCACCCGGGAGAGGCGCUUACAGG